UGUUUUUCUACCAAAGUUGGUUCACUUACUUGAACUUCGAUGUUUGGACAUGAGGAGUAAUCUGGACACUAAGACGGCAUGUGAUGAAAAGUAGUUUGUUUAUAUUUCUGUUGAUUUGAGUUUUAAUUACGUGAUAAGUAUGACGAGAUAAGAUCAUGUAUGAGGGCUUUAUUAAUUUGGGAUCACGUGUGUUCUUGUUUCCAAGCUGCACGGCCCAGAACACAAACUAUCCAGAGAGCCUCAAACCAUUUCCAGCUGUCACUUCCCUGCUCCGGUCUCUUACUCCUAACCUGAUCUGACAGGGCAAGAAGAGGAGCAUCCUGUGACCCCCGACCUCCCGGACAAUAGAGGCCAGGACGUUUCCCAGUGAGCGCCGAUGGAGCCAACAACAGGAACAUGAGGGGUGCUCCUGGGAAACAAACUGUUUAUUGUGCAGCAGGAUGGACGCCCCCCCACCCCCACCCCCCAUGUCCCAAUCACUUACUUUCACACACAAUCACAGACACACACUGCACACCUCUGCAGAGUGAAAUCCUAUCAAACAACAGGUGGCUACAAACAGAACAGUCAGGAGAGUUGUAUUCCAAGCUUUAGACAACUGUAUUUCCUCUUGUAUAUAGGUCACACAAUAUAACCACACUGUGACUAA